rnacentral:rRNA from 1 species
CUUGCUUCUUUGCUGACGAGUGGCGGACGGGUGAGUAAUGUCUGGGAAACUGCCUGAUGGAGGGGGAUAACUACUGGAAACGGUAGCUAAUACCGCAUAACGUCGCAAGACCAAAGAGGGGGACCUUCGGGCCUCUUGCCAUCGGAUGUGCCCAGAUGGGAUUAGCUAGUAGGUGGGGUAACGGCUCACCUAGGCGACGAUCCCUAGCUGGUCUGAGAGGAUGACCAGCCACACUGGAACUGAGACACGGUCCAGACUCCUACGGGAGGCAGCAGUGGGGAAUAUUGCACAAUGGGCGCAAGCCUGAUGCAGCCAUGCCGCGUGUAUGAAGAAGGCCUUCGGGUUGUAAAGUACUUUCAGCGGGGAGGAAGGGAGUAAAGUUAAUACCUUUGCUCAUUGACGUUACCCGCAGAAGAAGCACCGGCUAACUCCGUGCCAGCAGCCGCGGUAAUACGGAGGGUGCAAGCGUUAAUCGGAAUUACUGGGCGUAAAGCGCACGCAGGCGGUUUGUUAAGUCAGAUGUGAAAUCCCCGGGCUCAACCUGGGAACUGCAUCUGA